rnacentral:rRNA from 1 species
AUGCACUUUUCCCAUGGUAUAAUAUACGAAACAAAAUCAAUUUAUUGGAUCACAAUCAUAUCUGGAAGUAUCUGCACCACUGUUUUAUCAGGCAUGAAGGUGGCAUGGGCCAGCAAGGAGUCUGGGGGUUCAGCAGGACAUCCUUGCCGGAGUAGUCGAGCAGAGGCUGACACUGGCCAAUAUGAGCAGCAUUGCCGCAGAUCGCCUCCAUGUGGGCUGCUGUUGCAAAGUCACUGUGCUGCACCUCAGCAAAUUCAUGUGUUCAGCCACUAUCAGACUUUGGUGGUAUGCUCUGGCUGCAAAACUAUGCUCUUCCAACCUACCGGUGGAAAGGGGAGGCUCACCAAGGGAUGCCUUAUUAUGGAAAAAAUGAAGCCCUUCUUAAGAUUGUUUACUACUACUUAUCCUCGAUGUGGGGAGACCAACCAAAAGAGGAGUCAGGACUCAGGAGCAAGCAAAUUACAGUUUGUACACAACGAUUUGACAUUCAGCAUAUAUGCACUAGAGUUUCAGAAGGUCAAUAAUACCCAAUGCAUUGCCUUCCAUGACCUACCUUGGUCUGUUCUCAUGGAUGAUCUGCUAACUCAUUUUAAUUCGGUGCCUAGGUACUAUUUCCUUUGGCAUUGUGUUUUAUAA